CAUGCAGUCGACGGCAGCAUAGGAGCUUGCUCCUGAUGGCGAGUGGCGAACGGGUGAGUAAUAUAUCGGAACGUGCCCUAGAGUGGGGGAUAACUAGUCGAAAGACUAGCUAAUACCGCAUACGAUCUACGGAUGAAAGUGGGGGAUCGCAAGACCUCAUGCUCCUGGAGCGGCCGAUAUCUGAUUAGCUAGUUGGUGGGGUAAAAGCCUACCAAGGCAACGAUCAGUAGCUGGUCUGAGAGGACGACCAGCCACACUGGGACUGAGACACGGCCCAGACUCCUACGGGAGGCAGCAGUGGGGAAUUUUGGACAAUGGGGGCAACCCUGAUCCAGCAAUGCCGCGUGAGUGAAGAAGGCCUUCGGGUUGUAAAGCUCUUUUGUCAGGGAAGAAACGGUAGUAGCGAAUAACUAUUACUAAUGACGGUACCUGAAGAAUAAGCACCGGCUAACUACGUGCCAGCAGCCGCGGUAAUACGUAGGGUGCAAGCGUUAAUCGGAAUUACUGGGCGUAAAGCGUGCGCAGGCGGUUGUGUAAGUCAGAUGUGAAAUCCCCGGGCUCAACCUGGGAAUUGCAUUUGAGACUGCACGGCUAGAGUGUGUCAGAGGGGGGUAGAAUUCC
rnacentral:rRNA from 1 species